rnacentral:rRNA from 2 species
UGGGGAAUAUUGCACAAUGGAGGAAACUCUGAUGCAGCGACGCCGCGUGAGCGAAGAAGUAUUUCGGUAUGUAAAGCUCUAUCAGCAGGGAAGAUAAUGACGGUACCUGACUAAGAAGCUCCGGCUAAAUACGUGCCAGCAGCCGCGGUAAUACGUAUGGAGCAAGCGUUAUCCGGAUUUACUGGGUGUAAAGGGAGCGUAGGCGGUUCUGCAAGUCUGAUGUGAAAAUCCGGGGCUCAACCCCGGAAAUGCAUUGGAAACUGCAGGACUUGAGUAUCGGAGAGGCAAGUGGAAUUCCUAGUGUAGCGGUGAAAUGCGUAGAUAUUAGGAGGAACACCAGUGGCGAAGGCGGCUUGCUGGACGAUAACUGACGCUGAGGCACGAAAGCGUGGGGAGCAAACAGG